AGAGCGAAGGGACGACCGCCAAAACGACCAUGACACGCUACCUCGACUUCUCCUUCUGGUACGACGGCGACCACCCGCCGCAGGGGGUUCAGAUCGCCUUGACGGGGGGGAGCCUCAGGGAGCGGGAUUCAACCUCACCAGGUGUGAAAGGAGGGACUCGAAGUACCUCAUCCGCACCUCGACCUCGACCUCCAAGCCCGACUCUCCCCUCGAGCGGCUGGAAGAACUGGUCCUCUCGACGGCGGCAGGAAGGGCGUUCGGCUCGUGGACAUCGAUAGGAAAAUAACCCUUCCUGUCUCCAUACCUAAGGGCGGAAUUGACAUCUGUUACGAGGUUGAAUUGAAGUCGACAGCGGAGUUGCUUUGGAGACUUUGUCCUAAAGAAGCGUCGCCGCUGUGUGCCGUGGCAACCUGGCCAGAAACCACGUCGGGAACGCCACAAUUGCCAGCGUUUGUCGAUCGAACUACAGACGGAUUAUCAACAACG